rnacentral:lncRNA from 11 species
GCGGUUAGUAGAUAGUGAAUUGUCGUACAUCGUUGACGACUAACGUCAAAUCGAAUACGUAAAAUCGUUUAUUAUAUUAAUCCUUUGCUGUGUUUACAAUUAAGUUUUUUUAUUUAUGUGCUAUCGAAUUUCUUCAGUGAGAUCGUUUAUGAAAUCAUAUUUUGCUCGAACAGGCCGAUUUAAUUUUUUGUUUUCGUGUAGUGCAUUCAUUUUUCGCAUGCAAGAUCACUGUACUGUGUCAAUGUGAAACUUAUACUACAUAUGCUGUAUUUACACUGACGUUCCUUUAUUGGAAGACUGCUUCGUUUUCGAGCGGAUUUAUACGAACUCUACUUCACGUUUUCUAAAGAGAAUAAUCUGGACAGUGUGCAGCGUGAGUUUGAAGCAAUUGGAUCGUUACUCCUCGCAUCGAGAGAAGCUACAAAAUGAGUGUCAGCGAGGAGCAUUUACGACAUUGUAUACUAUACGAGUUUAAAAAGGGCAGCACAACUAUGGAUACUGUUAGGAAGUAUACAGAGAACAUGUGCUGAAUGUGAGAAAGUGUCAAAGAUGGUUCUCAAAAUUCCGGAAUGGUGUUUUCGAGCUUGCUGACGAAGCCAGGUCUGGUCGAAGAGUAACCUUCGAUGUCGAAGCAUUGAUAGUUGUAAUUGAAGCAGCACCUCAUUUGACUACCGAGGAAAUAGCAAACAUAGUAGUAGCAGUAGUAUCGUACAUCGAUAUUUACAUCAGAUUGGAGAAGCUUCUAAUGAACGAUCAAAGGUGAUAUUCUAUUUAGCAGAUGAAUAAAUCCAUUCCAAAUUCUAUUCAUCGGAUGAAUGAAUUAUGAAAUGACAGAAAAAGAUGUGUUCAUAACAGUUUCCAGGAAACAGCUUGAAACGAUUUAUACGGACCAUCAACUGCUUUCGAGCGUAUCAUUAAUUUCAAGCAUCAGGAAUUCAACUUUAAUUUAAUGAACGAAGAUCUGCAGGACGCACCAUUAAUUUUACGGAAGCUUCGACAGCAUCCGGAUGCAAAAAAAUAUGACGCUUCCUAUUUGAGCUUCACUUACUCUCACAAGUGAAUGUAGCUUUUAACAUUUGUAACAGACAUUAUAUGUACGUACAGAAAAAUUAGAAGGUAUUUUGUUGGAUCACCACUUUUCUCCUAAUAUAAUUGGCAAACGAUCAAAUACACGAAAGAUGCAGUUUAGGAAAACUUAUUCUACACGUGCUAACUUCCAGAAAGUUAGUUCCUAGUGAGUCGUACUGUGGGUAGACUCUGGUUGAGGCACGACCAGUAGUCAAGUAGCAAGUCGAAUUUAUACUGUCUCAUUGUGAAAGAUUCAUCAAAAAACGUCCCAUCCGCAGUGAUCGUCUAAUGUGAACGGUGUAAAUUCGGCUUUACUGAACUACUAGCCGUAUCCGAGCCAAUCUUAAAAGCCUAGAAAACUAAGGUCAGCACUUCGUCACCUAAAUAUCGUAUGCAGUGAGAGACAAAAUUAGUUGCUUUAUUGUACCAUAGAAAAUGAAAGUGAGAUAUUUUAUUAUAUAUAUUCAAUACAUUCAACACGAUUAAAUAUAUUCAAAUAUAC